AUAACCCGCCCUGUUCCCGGGGCGCCCUGACACCCAUCAACCUGGAGUCUCCGCCCCUCUCCGGGGCAGGGUGUGGGAAGGGGGGUGACUUCGUUUCCUUUCCAAACCAGAUAGCAGCGGCUGGGAGGCUGCAAUAGACAGAAGCGGCUGCGCCUUGUGUUUGGGCCGUUAAGGGCUGGCGCCGCCCCAUUAUCCUGACAGGGAGAAGUGACCCUCCAGCUCAGCGAGCAAUGCCGGUGUGGGUACAGUUUGUGUUCCUUUUAGCCGCUUGGAAAGGUGCCCAGUCCCAGAUGCAGCUGGUGGAGUCCGGGGGGGCUGGUAGAAAUGAAGGGGAGUCCAUCCGGCUCUCCUGUAAAGGCUCCGGCUUCUCCUUCAGCAGCUACGACAUGUUCUGGUACCGGCAGAGUCCCGGGAAAAGCCCGGAGUUUGUCUCACGUAUUAACUACUACGGGACAGGCCCAAGUUACGCGGCUUGGGCCCAAGGGCGAUUCACCAUCUCCAGGGACAACGCCAGGAGCGAGCUGUACCUGGAAAUGAGCCGCCUGAGGCGGGAGGACGCCGCCCGGUAUCACUGCGCUGAUAGAGACGCACAGUGCGCGAAGCCGGUGUCAGCUCAGACCAAAAAACCCUUCCCCGGGCCCCAGGGGGAAAGUCUGUUCUCUGAGGAGCGGAGAGACCUGGUGCGCUCCGUGCAGGGAGCGAAGGGAAAGGAGAAGUGACCCUCCAGCUCAGCGAGCAAUGCCGGCGUGGGGACAAUUUGUGUUCCUUUUAGCAAAUUGGAAAGGUGAGAAAAUGUUCGAAAAUUCAGGGAAUGUAAAGAUUAUGUAUAUUGAAUUGCAGAGUGUAUCCAGGUCUUUGUUUGUCUGUAUAUCCCGCCUUAGUAUCCAUCCAUCUAUCUAUCAUCCACACAUUUGCAUCCAUCUAGGCAUCAUAGUGUAUUUUCUUUUUCUUUCUUUCUUUCUUUCUUUCUUUCUUUCUUUCUUUCUUUCUUUCUUUCUUUCUUUCUUAUACAAUGUUCCAUGCACAUCAUUAUCUCAUCUGCAUGUUUCUAAUCCCCCACUAGCUGUUCAUCCAUCCACUAUUCCUGUGCUGUAUUAUCUCUCUACCCAUCCGGAUUUCCCACACUACGGUAGUCUCUCUCCCUGUAUGCUUUCCACCACUGUAUUAGCUAGUAACAUGUAUGUCUGUCUCUGUUGCUUAUAUCCCCUUAUCACCCUGGUGAGAGUCCACAGGUAUGAACAAUGAUCAUUGUGCUCAUUAAUGUGUUUUCUCCAUCAGGUGCCCAGUCCCAGAUGCAGCUGGUGGAGUCCGGGGAGGCUGGUAGAAAUGAACGGGAGUGCAUCCGGCUCCCCUGUAAUUGCACUGGGCUCGCCUUCAACACCUAUUGAAUACACUGGUAUCGGCAGAGUCGCGGGAAAGGACCCCAGUUUGUCGCACGUAUUGACUAGGAUGGGUCUAGUCCUUGUUAAGUGGAUUGGGUUCAAGGGCGAUUCACCAUCUCCAGAGACAACGCCAAGAGUGAGCUGUACCUGGGAAUGAGCAGCCUGAGAUGGGAGGACACCGCCUGGUAUCACACUGCUCUGUUAAAAUCAUAGAAUAUCAGGGUUGGAAGGGACCUCAGGAGAUCAUUUAGUCCAACCCCCUUCUCAAAGCAGGACCGAUCCCCAAUUAAAUCAUCGCAG